UCCGGUUGAUCCUGCCAGAGGCCGCUGCUAUCCGGCUGGGACUAAGCCAUGCUAGUCUAGGGGCUUGUACCCCUUCGGGGGUGCAAGCACCGGCGGACGGCUCAGUAACACGUGGACAACCUGCCCUCGGGUGGGGGAUAACCCCGGGAAACUGGGGCUAAUCCCCCAUAGGUGAUGGGUGCUGGAAUGCCCCAUCUCCGAAAGCGCUCAGCGCCCGAGGAUGGGUCUGCGGCGGAUUAGGUAGUUGGUGGGGUAACGGCCCACCAAGCCUAAGAUCCGUACGGGCUGUGGGAGCAGGAGCCCGGAGAUGGACCCUGAGACAAGGGUCCAGGCCCUACGGGGCGCAGCAGGCGCGAAACCUCCGCAAUGCGGGAAACCGCGACGGGGUUAGCCGGAGUGCCCGUGCAUUGCACGGGCUGUCGGGGUGCCUAAACAGCACCCCAUAGCAAGGGCCGGGCAAGGCCGGUGGCAGCCGCCGCGGUAAGACCGGCGGCCCGAGUGGCGGCCACUCUUAUUGGGCCUAAAGCGUCCGUAGCCGGCCCAGUAAGUCCCCCGGGAAAUCUGGUCGCUUAACGAUCAGACUUCCGGGGGAUACUGCUGGGCUAGGGACCGGGAGAGGCCGAGGGUAUUCCCGGGGUAGGGGUGAAAUCCUGUAAUCCCGGGAGGACCACCUGUGGCGAAG
rnacentral:rRNA from 1 species